rnacentral:rRNA from 1 species
GACGAACGCUGGCGGCGUGCUUAACACAUGCAAGUCGAGCGGAAAGGCCUCUUCGGGGGUACUCGAGCGGCGAACGGGUGAGUAACACGUGAGUAAUCUGCCCUUCACUCUGGGAUAGCCACCGGAAGCGGUGAUUAAUACCGGAUACGACACGUCCAGGCAUCUGGUGCGUGUGGAAACUUUUUGGGUGGGGGAUGUGCUCGCGGCCUAUCAGCUUGUUGGUGGGGUAAUGGCCUACCAAGGCUUCGACGGGUAGCCGGCCUGAGAGGGUGACCGGCCACACUGGGACUGAGACACGGCCCAGACUCCUACGGGAGGCAGCAGUGGGGAAUAUUGGACAAUGGGCGGAAGCCUGAUCCAGCAACGCCGCGUGAGGGAUGACGGCCUUCGGGUUGUAAACCUCUUUCAGCACCGACGAAGCGAUCCUUUGGGGAGUGACGGUAGGUGCAGAAGAAGGACCGGCCAACUACGUGCCAGCAGCCGCGGUAAUAC